CCUGAUAGGUAUAACCAGUCACCACAAAUGAACCCCAAAGAUGAACCUCAAAGAUGAACCCCAAUGUGAACCCCAAUAACUACAAACAUCACAAAUGAACCCCGAAGAUAAACCCCAAUAUGAAUAACAAUCAUCACAAAUGAACCCCAAAGAUAAACCCCAAUUGAAUGACAACCGUCAUAAAUGAACCCCGAAUGAAUAACAAUCAUCACAAAUGAACCCCGAAGAUGAACCCCAAUUGAAUGACAACCGUCAUAAAUGAACCCCAAAUGAAUAACAGAAGAAAUCCCCAAGGUAUGAACAUACCACACGCCCACGCUGGAUAAAGAAGUACUCACACCAAAACAAAUAAAAGGGUGAACAAACAGAGACUCACAGAAAAGGGUGAACACACACACGAAAACAACAAAAAAAGAAAAAGGGUGAAAACAAAAAAAAGGUGCUCGGAGAGAUUACUCACAACCUCCUGCCUACGUAUCUCAUCUCGUAUGAGAAUCAGGGCGACGUAGUUCCCCUUAAUAGGGGUAAAACACUCUCCUAACCAGAGACUAGGGAGACAACA
rnacentral:lncRNA from 1 species